rnacentral:rRNA from 1 species
GACGAACGCUGGCGGCGUGCCUAAUACAUGCAAGUAGAACGCUGAAGGAGGAGCUUGCUUCUCUGGAUGAGUUGCGAACGGGUGAGUAACGCGUAGGUAACCUGCCUGGUAGCGGGGGAUAACUAUUGGAAACGAUAGCUAAUACCGCAUAAUAGCAGUUGUUGCAUGACAACUGUUUGAAAGGUGCAAUUGCACCACUACCAGAUGGAACUGCGUUGUAUUAGCUAGUUGGUGGGGUAACGGCUCACCAAGGCGACGAUACAUAGCCGACCUGAGAGGGUGAUCGGCCACACUGGGACUGAGACACGGCCCAGACUCCUACGGGAGGCAGCAGUAGGGAAUCUUCGGCAAAGGACGGAAGUCUGACCGAGCAACGCCGCGUGAGUGAAGAAGGUUUUCGGAUCGUAAAGCUCUGUUGUAAGAGAAGAACGAGUGUGAGAGUGGAAAGUUCAAACUGUGACGGUAUCUUACCAGAAAGGGACGGCUAACUACGU